GACAGUCUAGAAGUGUCUACAUAGGGAACAGAUAUUUAAUAGUUGGCUCUUCAGUCUAGCAGAGAAAGGUGUAAUGUGAUCCAAUGGCUGGAAGUUAAAGCUACAGAAGUUCAAACUGGAACUAAGGCAUACAUUUUUGACCGUGAGGGUGUGAGAGAGCAGAGGGAGUGAGGGAGAUGCCUGCAGGAGACCUGGAGCAGGCUUGCUAAAUGAACUAACCAGAGAAACCUGGUGUGCGGAGGGAACCGUGAGCAGCUGGUUCCCUGUAAGAGAGCUGAAGCAGUUGUUUGAGGCAGCUGACUCUGGGGAGUGAACUCUGAGCAGGACAGCUUCAAAGCCCCAGGCACAUCACCUCCAAAGAACUCCUACAAAAGGACUAGAGGAAGGAACCCUCCUGCUCACCCCGGCUGUGAGGGAUGAGCCAUGCCUUGGGACAGAUUUUUGGCAUGCCUGUGUACAUGUCAAAGGCUGUGUGAAUUCAGAGGGAGUGAAGGGCACGCAGAACCUUUCAGGAUCCAGGCCUGUGUUGCUGCCAUCCAGAACACUGAAUAUCCUGUUUUCUCACCCUAUGGGUAUGUUUUUUGCAUUUUGCUUUUUUUUUUUCAUAUUCUAUUACUCGGCUUAUCCAAAUACUUUUGUUUGAAUGGUAUUAUUGUAUCAGCUGUGGUAUUGUUGAGCAGUUGAAUUGCUACGCCUAAUGAGAUCAGUUUUCUCUUGUCACCAGUUAGGGUGGCCACCGCUGAGGUACAAAAAAUGGGGACAUCCUGGGUGAUCCUGAAUGCUGAAACUGGCCAGCUGGCAGAGUGCACUGAGCACCCUUAUCGAUUUUUCCAGAGCAGCUCCUCAAAAAAAACGAUGAUCCCUGGCAGGUAGCAAUCCUGGAAUCGUGGCUAUUGAUGCACAAGAAAAAUCCUGGCUGUGAGUAACUUAGUAUAUACUAAAAGAAAAGGAGUACUUGUGGCACCUUAGAGACUAAC